rnacentral:misc_RNA from 1 species
GUGAAUCAUCGAAUCUUUGAACGCACAUUGCGCCCGCCAGUAUUCUGGCGGGCAUGCCUGUUCGAGCGUCAUUUCAACCUUCAAGCCCUGCUUGUGUUGGGGUCCUGCGGCUGCCCGCAGGCCCUGAAAACCAGUGGCGGGCUCGCUAGUCACACCGAGCGCAGUAGCACAUCUCGCUCAGGGCGUGCGGCGGGUUCUUGCCGUUAAACACCCCCCUUUCCACAGGUUGACCUCGGAUCAGGUAGGAAUACCCGCUGAACUUAAGCAUAUCAAUAAGCGGAGGA